rnacentral:rRNA from 1 species
UACGAAGGGUGCAAGCGUUAUUCGGAAUCAUUGGGCGUAAAGGGUGUGUAGACGGUGUAUUAAGUCUAUUGUUAAAUCUUCCGGCCUAACCGGAAACUUGCAGUGGAUACUGACGCACUAGAGGGUGGAAGAGAGAAGUGGAAUUCUCGGAGUAGCGGUAAAAUGCGUAGAUCUCGAGAGGAACACCAAUGGCGAAGGCAGCUUCUUGGUCCAUACCUGACGUUGAGGCACGAAAGCGUGGGGAGCAAACAGG